rnacentral:rRNA from 1 species
UACGAAGGGGGCUAGCGUUGCUCGGAAUCACUGGGCGUAAAGGGUGCGUAGGCGGGUCUUUAAGUCAGGGGUGAAAUCCUGGAGCUCAACUCCAGAACUGCCUUUGAUACUGAGGAUCUUGAGUAUGGGAGAGGUGAGUGGAACUGCGAGUGUAGAGGUGAAAUUCGUAGAUAUUAGGAAGAACACCAGUGGCGAAGGCGGCUCACUGGCCCGGUACUGACGCUGAGGCGCGAAAGCGUGGGGAGCAAACAGG